AGUGAACGCUGGCGGUAGGCCUAACACAUGCAAGUCGAACGGCAGCACGGGAGAGCUUGCUCUCUGGGUGGCGAGUGGCGGACGGGUGAGGAAUACAUCGGAAUCUACUCUGUCGUGGGGGAUAACGUAGGGAAACUUACGCUAAUACCGCAUACGACCGACGGGUGAAAGCAGGGGAUCUUCGGACCUUGCGCGAUUGGAUGAGCCGAUGUCGGAUUAGCUAGUUGGCGGAGUAAAGGCCCACCAAGGCGACGAUCCGUAGCUGGUCUGAGAGCAUGAUCAGCCACACUGGAACUGAGACACGGUCCAGACUCCUACGGGAGGCAGCAGUGGGGAAUAUUGGACAAUGGGCGCAAGCCUGAUCCAGCCAUACCGCGUGGGUGAAGAAGGCCUUCGGGUUGUAAAGCCCUUUUGUUGGGAAAGAAAUCCAGCUGGCUAAUACCCGGUUGGGAUGACGGUACCCAAAGAAUAAGCACCGGCUAACUUCGUGCCAGCCGCCGCCGUAA
rnacentral:rRNA from 1 species